GCUUGUGUAGCGCUAUAGGAGUAGCGCCCGCCCGUAUUCUUGAGGUCAUGUUAAGACAUUUUGCGGUACACGAUGGAUUGACCUGUUUAUUCGCAUGCCAGUAAUGCGUUAAUCUUGAUUAACUAAAGUAUGUCGUGUGGAUUGUUCAAUGAUUUUUUUACAUAUGCUAAUGCUAGUUAUACUUGAUUCGGGAUUUCUGGAACAUUCUUAUGUGAUAAACCUGUUAUUAACUUCGCAAGAAGCCACACCUUAACAUGUAUAGCGCUUGUGUAGCGCUAUAGGAGUAGCGCACCGCCCAUAUUCUAGUGGUCAUGUUAAGUUAACAACAUUACACCCUUUUUGUUGCGACGAUGAGGGGUAGUCAACAUUGCGGUACACGAUGGCUUGACAUGUUUACUCACAUGCCAGUAAUACGUUAAUCUUGGUUAACUAAGUAUAUCAUGUGGUUGUUCAAAGAUUUCACUCCUACUCUAUACUCUCUCAUACUUAAACACAAUCAUGCUUACAUACCUAAAUCUUUAUACGUUAUCACACACACAUUCAUACUCGUAAUACGAUAAUGUACCCUGACCCAUACACUACUAGUACAAACUAUGCGGAUCAUGCACAUACCAAAAUAAUCGCGGAUGCAUACGUGAUUAUAUUGGUAGAUGCAUGAAAACCAUAUUAGGUUCUAUUGUGUAUCAUAACACGAGUCGCGAAACGGACGUAACAUGAUAUGAACAUGGUGGAUACGCCACUGUUACUUCCUAUAUAUAAGUGUUCCUACCAUAUUACCAAACUUUCGUAAAAAUGUGUCAUGAGAAAUUCGGUGUUUCCUCAUACCUCAUUGAAUGCAAACUUUGAUCACAAACCACCAAUUUCUCGGUAAUACCCAGAACACACUUCGAAGAUGCCAUCUUUCCCCAAGGUCUUUCUCUCGAAUAAAUUUCGGGACGAAAUUUCCUAAAGUAGGGGAGACUGUAACGCCUCGUAUUUUCAUAUUUUUAUAUUUUUAUAAAUUUUAGAAAAUUCAAGUUCGUUUUCUAUUUUUAUAAAAUCAGAUCGAAAAAAACGGAAUAAAAACGUCAAACGACGCAUUUUUUAGGCGCUUUUAACGCAAUCGACAACGAACGUGUCAAAACUGACUUCCAACAUACAUUUUACGUAUUUUCAACUCUAAAUAAAAAUUUACGAGAUAUUAUGAAGUUUGGGUGCGAAAACGGGCUCUUAGGAAUUAACUGGCCACUUAUAACACGUAAAGUGGGUUUGUGAGCCUUGGGCCCAAACCCAAAGACCACUAACUAAACCUAGUAUUGGAAGGAAGUGACAACCCUAAUUCUCAUUCUGUUACAGUAGCCGCACAUUGCAAGAUUGCUCCCUCUCGUCUCUGUCUCUUCGUCUGCACUUUUAUUACAAAAAAAAAGAAACCUCACAACACAGACAAACACCCUCAUUACUCUCCUGUCCCUCCCAUCGUUCAUGUUCAUGUUCCGGCGACCGGAAUAACCGGCGACUGUCCGCGUAGUUCUCUGACAACAGCCGCACCCCCAGCUGAUGGUAACCGUUUCUCACACACACCCCCAUCUCGAAGAACAGGAGAGAGAGUGAAACAGAGUGAGAAGGAAAGGGAAGCACGGCAGCGGCGCCGCCGCUCACGACGGCGACAGUGGAGGCGACAGUGGUGGUUGAGGCUCCUCCGACGAGUUGCUCAAGUUCCGAUGAAGAUUGAUUAUGGUAAUGGAGACCGACGACAGUGAUGAUGAUGAAGUUCUGGUUCGGGUUGGGCACCGUCAACUGGUCAGCGAUUCAAGAAUGGUUCAGAUCUGGUUCGAAUUCCGGGUCACGUUACGCUUGGUUCCGUCAACAGCAGGUGGUUCCGUUCCAGUUCGAAUCUCGGUUCAGGCUCUGAGAUGAUGACUGGAGAAACCGCGGCGGUUCUUUUACGUGUUCGACAAUAAUCGCUUUGUUCGUUCUCUUGGAUUUUCUCAACCUUUACUUGUGCGAUAAUUCAAAGGAUUCUCAUACGCAACCAAUGUUGACGAUUUAAAGAAAGAUGCCCGGAAUCUAGUAGGAUUUGCCUAGAAACGAAUUUAAACUUUAAUGCUUAUUAUAUUGUAUUUUACUUCCAAACUUGAUGGAUUUGGUAUCUAAAUCAUGUACUACAUUACAUAAAUGAAAUGAAGGUUUAUUAUUUGACUA